rnacentral:sRNA from 1 species
CUGCCAUGCAAAGAAAGCCCAAAUCAUAUUCUUCUUCUUUAAUGGAUCAGAUUCCUAUCAAAUUCCUUAUUCGACAGGCUCAAGGGCUGCAGCAGGAGUUGGGAGGGUUGCAUUCAGCUUUACUACGUCUCCUUGCUACUAACUACCCACAUUUAUGUAUUGUGGAUGACUGGAUUUGUGAAGAAGAAAUCACAGGGACUGAUGCCCUGCUACGGCGAAUGCUCCUGACUAAUAAUGCUAAAAAUCAUUCUCCCAAACAACUCCAAGAAGCAUUUUCAGCUGUCCCAGUAAAUCACACACAAGUGAUGCAGAUUAUAGAACACUUGACUCUACUCUCUGCCAGUGAACUUAUACCAUAUGUGGAAGUGUUAACAUCCAAUAUGAGCCAGCUAUUGAAUUCAGGGGUUCCACGGAGAAUUCUGCAAACAGUCAAUAAACUAUGGAUGGUUCUUAAUACUGUGAUGCCUAGAAGGCUAUGGGUAAUGACGGUUAAUGCACUUCAGCCUUCAAUAAAGUUUGUACGACAACAAAAGUAUACUCAGAAUGACCUGAUGAUAGAUCCUCUCAUUGUCCUAAGGUGUGAUCAGAGGGUUCACAGAUGCCCCCCACUGAUGGAUAUUACCCUACACAUGUUGAAUGGAUAUCUUCUUGCAUCUAAAGCCUACCUUAGUGCUCAUCUGAAGGAAACAGAGCAAGAUAGGCCUUCCCAGAAUAAUACAAUUGGUUUAGUUGGACAAACUGAUGCUCCGGAAGUUACCAGGGAAGAAUUGAAAAAUGCAUUACUGGCCGCUCAGGUAAAUUUUGCUAAAGUAAAAUUUAGUCAAAAAGAGCAAGGGCUUCUCUACUAGCAUAAUCAGUUCAAUAGAUGGCACAUUGUGCGCUCCAUGUACAUUGGUGACAUAUUGUGCAUUUCUUUUAUUAUAGAAUCUAUUACAAUGAUGUUACCUUUGCUUCUGAGUAUCAGAUAUGUUGUAUUUCUGAAAUCAGGAAUAAUCUUCAUGAUAUGAAUGAAAUAACCAUUUAAAUAAGAUUUAUA